AAGUUGCUGUUAGAUAAUCAGCUUAGUGCUGCUGUAAACACUUCAGAUACUCAUCACAUUUACACAUUCACGAAGAAAUGUCAUGAAUUCCUAUAUUUUCAUAUUCAUAUUACAUGAACUACUGUUCUGUUAAGUAUUUAUCAUGAAAUCAUGUUGAGUUUCAAAGUGUUUAAAAAAAGAGUGGAAAAGGAAACAUGUUAGUUACUUUAAUUCAAGAAAAUAACAACAGAUCAAGUUUUACUCACACAAGGAAAAUGUGAAUGAAAUUAAUAAAUUGAUGUUGAUCCAAACAUUAAAUGAACAGAUGAGGACAUUUAAUUUAAAGAAAUAUGUCAAAUAAAUUGCAUUUAAAUCAGCUGUACAACAGAUAAAACACUAAUUCUGAGCCUCUGGAGAUUUUAAAGAAGAAUGUUUGCGGUUAUUACAGCUGCAUAAAACAUAUCAACAUUUUAACAGCAGUUCUGAAAUAAAUGUAUUUCACAGAACACAUUGUUCAUUCACUACGUACAGAAAAUCAACAAUAUCAACUGAACACUUGAGCAAAUCUAAGAUACACAUAAGAUGCUGCAGGCAAAAUAAAUAUGUAUAUUCUGAAGCUGAUUUCUAAUAAAACUCAUCACACUGAAACACCAUCAAGAUUAUCUAUAAAACUCACUGUAUGUGCAUCCAUCUGUUCUUUUACUAAAUGUGGCCAAAAAUAUUUGUAAAACAUGUUUUGUAGUUGGAAAUACAUUAUCCAUAACUGCAAAUGCAAUAAAAUUAACCCCCAAAAAGCAUCAUAUUUGUUAAAUACAAAAACAACAUAUAAAGUCUCAUGUUAACUUCUAGUUUGGCAGUGAAAAGCACAAAAGAUCUUUUCUCUCGGCACAAAUCAAAAGCUAAAAACACACGAGAACGUCCGGAGAGUCCCAUUAAAGAACAGAGACACUCUGGGAUUUUUCAGCUUUACAGACCUGCUUCAUGAAUAUACUAUAUUUACAUAUCCAGUACUAGGUCCCUAAUCAUUUAUAUUAGGUGUCUUUUACUACUAUGUACUAACAUUAAAAUACAUACAAUAUAAUGUAUUUAUUGUGUAACUACAUGUUGUACAGGUUAAAGUUGGGUCAGGAUAAGGUUAGGACUAGGUUAAAGUUAGGUCAGGGUAAGGUUAGGGCUAGGUUAAAGUUAGGUCAAUGUAAGGUUAGGGCUAGGUUAAAGUUAGGUCAGGGUAAGGUUAGGUUAAAGUUAGGUCAAUGUAAGGUUAGGGCUAGGUUAAAGUUAGGUCAAUGUAAGGUUAGGGCUAGGUUAAAGUUAGGUCAAUGUAAGGUUAGGGCUAGGUUAAAGUUAGGUCAAUGUAAGGUUAGGGCUAGGUUAAAGUUAGGUCAAUGUAAGGUUAGGGCUAGGUUAAAGUUAGGUCAAUGUAAGGUUAGGGCUAGGUUAAAGUUAGGUCAAUGUAAGGUUAGGGCUAGGUUAAAGUUAGGUCAAUGUAAGGUUAGGGCUAGGUUAAAGUUAGGUCAAUGUAAGGUUAGGGCUAGGUUAAAGUUAGGUCAAUGUAAGGUUAGGGCUAGGUUAAAGUUAGGUCAAUGUAAGGUUAGGGCUAGGUUAAAGUUAGGUCAAUGUAAGGUUAGGGCUAGGUUAAAGUUAGGUAAAUGUAAGGUAAGGGCUAGGUUAAAGUUAGGUCAAUGUAAGGUUAGGGCUAGGUUAAAGUUAGGUCAGGGUAAGGUUAGGGUUAGGUUAAAGUUAGGUCAGGGUAAGGUUAGGGUUAGGUUAAAGUUAGGUCAGGGUAAGGUUAGGGCUAGGUUAAAGUUAGGUCAGGGUAAGGUUAGGGUUAGGUUAACAGUGUAACUACAGAUGUAAUUUAAUGCAGGUACUUUAAGUAUAAUACAACAACAUGUACAUAAGUACAUUGUAUGAAAUGAUUAAGUACAUAGUAG